CCUACGGGCGGCAGCAGUGGGGAAUAUUGCGCAAUGGGGGCAACCCUGACGCAGCAACGCCGCGUGAUUGAAGAAGGCCUUCGGGUUGUAAAGAUCUUUAAUCGGGGACGAAUUUUGACGGUACCCGAAGAAUAAGCUCCGGCUAACUACGUGCCAGCAGCAGAGGUAAUACGUAGGGAGCAAGCGUUAGCCGGAUUUACUGGGUGUAAAGGGCGUGUAGGCGGGCAUGCAAGCCAGAAGUGAAAUCUGGGGGCUUAACCCCCAAACUGCUUUUGGAACUGCGUGUCUUGAGUGAUGGAGAGGCAGGCGGAAUUCCCAGUGUAGCGGUGAAAUGCGUAGAUAUUGGGAGGAACACCAGUGGCGAAAGCGGCUCUCUGGUCUGUAACUGACGCUGAGGUUCGAAAGCGUGGGUAGCAAACAGGAUUAGAUACCCCUGUAGUC
rnacentral:rRNA from 1 species